UUGGAGGGCAAGUCUGGUGCCAGCAGCCGCGGUAAUUCCAGCUCCAAUAGCGUAUAUUAAAGUUGUUGCAGUUAAAAAGCUCGUAGUUGAAUUUCGAGACCGGUUUACUGGUCGUGCUUUUGUACGUACUGGUAUUAUUGGUUUCUCCUUUCUGACGAAUCUUAAUGCCAUUAAUUUGGUGUUUUGGGGAAUCAGGACUGUUACUUUGAAAAAAUUAGAGUGUUUAAAGCAGGCUCACGCUUGAAUACAUUAGCAUGGAAUAACGAAAUAGGACGUUUGAUUUUAUUUUGUUGGUUUCUAGGAUCGACGUAAUGAUUAAUAGGGAUAGUUGGGGGCAUUAGUAUUCAAUUGUCAGAGGUGAAAUUCUUGGAUUUAUUGAAGACUAACUACUGCGAAAGCAUUUGCCAAGGAUGUUUUCAUUAAUCAAGAACGAAAGUUAGGGGAUCGAAGACGAUCAGAUACCGUCGUAGUCUUAACCAUAAACUAUGCCGACUAGGGAUCGGACGAUGUUAAAUUUUAUUGACUCGUUCGGCGCCUUACGGGAAAC
rnacentral:rRNA from 1 species